rnacentral:rRNA from 1 species
UGCCAGCAGCCGCGGUAAUACGGAGGGGGCUAGCGUUGUUCGGAAUUACUGGGCGUAAAGCGCGCGUAGGCGGAUUAGUCAGUUGGAGGUGAAAUCCCGGAGCUCAACUCCGGAAUUGCCUUCAAUACUGCUAGGCUUGAGUUCGAGAGAGGGUGGUGGAAUUCCCAGUGUAGAGGUGAAAUUCGUAGAGAUCUGGAAGAACACCAGAGGCGAAGGCGGUCUCUUGGUCCGAAACUGACGCUGAGGCUCGAAAGCGGGUGGAGCAAACAGGAUUAGCUA